UUGGUGUUCUUAACUCAAGAGAAAUGUUUUCAAUUAUUUAUUCAUUAAAUUUUGAAAACCCGGCUAAGUGAAUCAUAGAAUAUUAAGCACUACACCAUGACUUAAGAUUAGAUUCAAGGAGACCUAUUGAGAAUAGAUUUCUUGUAGGCUUUGAGCAUCAGAAGGAUUAGCACUGCUAUUCCGAUUCAGAGAUAAGGUUAAACGACAGGCUUUGCCUAGACAGGUGGGCUUACUUUCCAAAUGUACAAAGUAUGAUUGAGUUAUUAAGCUCUAAAUGUUUCAAUGAAAUGCAAAUUAUUUAUUUAAUGUAAUGAAAACUGUUUAUCCAAUAAAAUGUUUAUGUGCACUCUGCUCUGUUUAAGGCUCGCGCAGUUAAUCAAUUGAGGUUCUCUUAUGACCUAAUACGUUGUUUGAGAAUUGUGUACACUUGUUAGUUGACUCGGUGGGUUGAUCUCCAUCGGGCUCUAACCAGAGGCGUUAUAAGGGUGCUCGGCUGGAUGUGUUCCGGAGCAUGAGAAAUAUCAGGCCUGCCUAGGUAGCGUCCCGAGGUCAAAGUAAACUUGUCUGGGUUACGCCCUCAGUUCAAGUAAGCGGGAGACAGAGAUCCGUCGGUGGCUAAAAGGUCCGGGAUCACAGCGAGUAACAGAAAGGGAGUGUGACAUGUGCGCACAAAUGAAAGAAAAUAUUUUAACAUGCUUAGAAGUUAUUUCAAUUUAAAACCUUCUAAGUCAUGUCAAGUAUGAUUGGAUAAACUGUCUUUAAGAAAAUAAUGAAAUGUUUAUGAAAAUGCAUGCCCACUAAGUACAUUAGUACUUAGCCCAAAAAUACUUUCAAAUGUUUUCAGGUUGGCUGGCCGGUGCUGACGGGACGGAGCUGAGGCUAGAGAUAAAUUCCUAUGUUAGACUUCCG
rnacentral:lncRNA from 1 species